rnacentral:rRNA from 1 species
GUACUAAGGUAGCAUAAUAAUUUGCCUUUUAAUUGAAGGAUAGAAUGAAGGAAUAAACAAGAAAUUAUCUAUCUUUUUAUAACUAAUAAAAAUUAAUUUAUAAGUGAAAAAGCUUAUAUAAAAUAAAUAGACAAGAAGACCCUGUUGAGCUUUUUYUAUUAAAUAAUAAAUAGAUUUUGUUGGGGCAACAAAAAUUAUUACUAAUCAUUUUUUUUUUAUUACUAGAACCAAAAUCUUCUUAAUUAUCUUAUUGUAUAAAAAUUUAAUAAGUUACCACAGGGAUAACAGGCUAAUUUUCUUUUAGAGUCCAAA